rnacentral:rRNA from 1 species
GACGAACGCUGGCGGCGUGCCUAAUACAUGCAAGUAGAACGCACAGUUUAUACCGUAGCUUGCUACACCAUAGACUGUGAGUUGCGAACGGGUGAGUAACGCGUAGAUAACCUGCCUGGUAGCGGGGGAUAACUAUUGGAAACGAUAGCUAAUACCGCAUAAUAUUAAUUAUUGCAUGAUAAUUAAUUGAAAGGUGCAGUUGCACCACUACCAGAUGGACCUGCGUUGUAUUAGCUAGUAGGUGAGGUAACGGCUCACCUAGGCGACGAUACAUAGCCGACCUGAGAGGGUGAUCGGCCACACUGGGACUGAGACACGGCCCAGACUCCUACGGGAGGCAGCAGUAGGGAAUCUUCGGCAAUGGACGAAAGUCUGACCGAGCAACGCCGCGUGAGUGAAGAAGGUUUUCGGAUCGUAAAGCUCUGUUGUAAGAGAAGAACGGGGGUGAGAGUGGAAAGUUCACACUGUGACGGUAUCUUACCAGAAAGAGACGGCUAACUACGUG